CAGAUGUGGGCUACUGGUUGGGAGACUGCUAUUCAACAGAUUGGUCCUAACUUCGUCUGGUGGGUAGUGGCUCAAAGUGUGUUCUACCAUCUCUACAACCAGUUCUCCUACAUGUCCUUGGACGAGAUCUCUCCUCUGACAUUUAGCAUAGGCAACACCAUGAAGCGGAUCUCCGUUAUCGUCUCCUCCAUCAUAAUCUUCCGCACGCCCGUCCAACCUGUCAAUGCCCUAGGAGCGGCCAUUGCAAUCCUAGG
rnacentral:misc_RNA from 1 species